GGAUGUGAGGGCGAUCUGGUUGCGACAUCUGUCACCCCAUUGAUCGCCAGGGUUGAUUCGGCUGAUCUGGCUGGCUAGGCGGGUGUCCCCUUCCUCCCUCACUGCUCCAUGUGCAUCCCUCCCGAAGCUGCGUGCUCGGUCAAAGAGAACGACCAUCCCCGAUAGAGGAGGACCGGUCUUCGGUCAAGGGUAUACAAGUAGCUGCGUUCCCCUACUAGAACCUCCAAACAAGCUCUCAAG
rnacentral:lncRNA from 1 species